GUAUGUAGAUACCCGAGCGCAGGGGCUGCUGGGCCGUCAGCUGGUGCUGAAACACGAUACGGUCUCCCGUGGCGUGGGAGAGAACUGAGGAGUUUCUGCUUGAAAGUUCCUCAUAUGUGAAAUGAGGAUGAUGACAUGAUGCAAGCCUUUUGAAAGGAUUAAUUUCCCACCCCAGGCCCUGCAGACCGGCCUGCAAAGGGGAAAAGUGGAGUGUGUGCGGUUCCCUGCCCGCCAGUCAUCCCCAAAGCAGCCGCCAGGACUUCCACUCACCUGCAGACUCUGCACAGCCCACCUCACCGGCUCCGCACGGAACCCGCGAAGGAAACUUGGCCAGGACAAAUGCCAGGCCAGCAGCUUUGCGAUUGAGGGUGAACCGGGUUCCCGGACGCGUCAGUAAAGGGUGGGAACUGCUCCAGAGUGAGGCGCUCGCUCUGGUCGCCCCAACUCAGCGACCGUCCCCGCCGCGCUGCGUCAUUGAGUCCUUUGUAACCGCUGAAAGUUCCAAAAUACAAGCAUCAGAGAGAUGCUCCUCAGCACCGCGAAGGGAGCACUUUCACUGGCUUUUCAAGUCCAUCACGGGCCUCAUCCAUAUUUUUCUCCCGAGCAGUAGAGGACACAAGUGGGGCGUCUUCUCGGUGGAGCAGAGUCCCGGCAGGACGAAGGGGGCCCGGCCGGGGGUGCGGACUCCGAGCGGCUCGUCGCGCCUUCGGCCCCGGAGCAGCCUGGCCGGGCGGCCGUGGGUCAGGGACCUGGGGUCUCCUCAGACGCCGGAAUCCGCGACUCCCGCUCCUCUUUCGGGCUGAGCUUGGGACCAGAGGACGCGAUUUCCAGGAGUCAAGGUUCAAAUCUUGGCCGAACAGCGGCUUUGCGUGCCCAGCGGAGACUUAGGAGCGAGAAACUCUGAAUAAAAUCAUAAUAAACUGGGACAAGAUCAAUUAAUAUUCGGAAUGAUAGAGAGCCUGAAUAAAACACAGUUCAUUCCAGUCAGGUCUGGAACCUUCCACCCGAAAGCUGCCAUCCUGGUUGAUCAGCGACAUCGCAGCCCCUCCCCGCCGCCAUUUACGCACCGGGACUACCGUGCAGUUACAAGGCGUGCGGUGUGAAGCCCCCUCGUGGGGCAGGACUCGGUGGGCGCAGCCUCUGCCUUUUACCCCCGAGACCCAGGGGACCCGACGAGGGAGCGGCACUGGCUGGGUCGCUGCGCCUCUGGCCGAGGGGGGCGGGGCGGGGAGCAGGAGAGGCGCCGGCCCUCCGAUGCCCAGGGAUGGGCAGAGCCGCCCGGGCCCAGCGAGGACGCCCCCGGUCCCGGUCGGUCCCACACCUGUCCGCAGGGUCCGUG
ensembl:lncRNA